rnacentral:misc_RNA from 1 species
UGAAAUAUUUUUUCACCCAUGUCUUUUGCGCACUUGUUGUUUCCUGGGCGGGUUCGCCCGCCACCAGGACCAAACCAUAAACCUUUUUCUUAUGCAGUUUCCAUCAGCGUCAGUAAAAACAAUGUAAUAAUUACAACUUUCAACAACGGAUCUCUUGGUUCUGGCAUCGAUGAAGAACGCAGCGAAAUGCGAUACGUAGUGUGAAUUGCAGAAUUCAGUGAAUCAUCGAAUCUUUGAACGCACAUUGCGCCCUUUGGUAUUCCAAAGGGCAUGCCUGUUCGAGCGUCAUUUGUACCUUCAAGCUUUGCUUGGUGUUGGGCGUUUUUGUCUCCCUCUUUCUGGGAGACUCGCCUUAAAACGAUUGGCAGCCGGCCUACUGGUUUCGGAGCGCAGCAC